CCUACGGGAGGCAGCAGUGGGGAAUCUUGCGCAAUGGGCGAAAGCCUGACGCAGCCAUGCCGCGUGAAUGAUGAAGGUCUUAGGAUUGUAAAAUUCUUUCACCGAGGACGAUAAUGACGGUACUCGGAGAAGAAGCCCCGGCUAACUUCGUGCCAGCAGCCGCGGUAAUACGAAGGGGGCUAGCGUUGCUCGGAAUUACUGGGCGUAAAGGGAGCGUAGGCGGAUAGUUUAGUCAGAGGUGAAAGCCCAGGGCUCAACCUUGGAAUUGCCUUUGAUACUGGCUAUCUUGAGUACGGAAGAGGUAUGUGGAACUCCGAGUGUAGAGGUGAAAUUCGUAGAUAUUCGGAAGAACACCAGUGGCGAAGGCGACAUACUGGUCCGUUACUGACGCUGAGGCUCGAAAGCGUGGGGAGCAAACAGGAUUAGAUACCCUGGUAGUCCACGCUGUAAACGAUGAGUGCUAGUUGUCGGCAUGCAUGCAUGUCGGUGACGCAGCUAACGCAUUAAGCACUCCGCCUGGGGAGUACGGUCGCAAGAUUAAAACUUAAAGGAAAUUGACGG
rnacentral:rRNA from 1 species